rnacentral:rRNA from 1 species
UUGGAGGGCAAGUCUGGUGCCAGCAGCCGCGGUAAUUCCAGCUCCAAUAGCGUAUAUUAAAGUUGUUGCAGUUAAAAAGCUCGUAGUUGAACUUCGGGGUCUACCCAUUGGUCAGGCUUAAUUGUCUGCACUGGUGAGAUGGAUCUCUACCUUCUGAGGAACUUUCAUGCCAUUUAUUUGGUGUGAUGGGAAAUCAGGACUGUUACUUUGAAAAAAUUAGAGUGUUUAAAGCGGACUAUCGUCUGAAUACAUUAGCAUGGAAUAAUGAAAUAGGACGGACUGAUUCUAUUUCGUUGGUUUCUAGGAUCACCGUAAUGAUUAAUAGGGAUAGUUGGGGGCAUUAGUAUUCAAUUGUCAGAGGUGAAAUUCUUGGAUUUAUUGAAGACUAACUACUGCGAAAGCAUUUGCCAAGGAUGUUUUCAUUAAUCAAGAACGAAAGUUAGGGGAUCGAAGACGAUCAGAUACCGUCGUAGUCUUAACCAUAAACUAUGCCGACUAGGGAUCGGACGAAGUUAAUUUUAUAAUGACGCGUUCGGCGCCUUACGGGAAAC